rnacentral:rRNA from 1 species
UAACACGUGGGUAACCUGCCCAUAAGACUGGGAUAACUCCGGGAAACCGGGGCUAAUACCGGAUAACAUUUUGAACYGCAUGGUUCGAAAUUGAAAGGCGGCUUCGGCUGUCACUUAUGGAUGGACCCGCGUCGCAUUAGCUAGUUGGUGAGGUAACGGCUCACCAAGGCAACGAUGCGUAGCCGACCUGAGAGGGUGAUCGGCCACACUGGGACUGAGACACGGCCCAGACUCCUACGGGAGGCAGCAGUAGGGAAUCUUCCGCAAUGGACGAAAGUCUGACGGAGCAACGCCGCGUGAGUGAUGAAG